AGUCACUGACAUUAGAUACCUGCGUAGUCCAGGGUGUAAACGCUGCAGACUUGGUGUUGGAAGCCCGUUUGGGGGCAUUCAGUGCCGGAGAGAAGUUGUUAAGUCUGCUACGUUGGGGAGUACGUCCGCAAGGAUGAAAACUUAAAGGAAUUGGCGGGGGAGCACCGCAACGGGAGGAGCGUGCGGUUUAAUUGGAUUCAACACCGUAAAACUCACCAGGGAAGACUGUUACAUGAAGGCCGAGAUGAAGACUCUGCUAGAUUUUCAG
rnacentral:rRNA from 1 species